rnacentral:rRNA from 1 species
AUUGAACGCUGGCGGCAGGCUUAACACAUGCAAGUCGAGCGGGGGAAGGUAGCUUGCUACUGGACCUAGCGGCGGACGGGUGAGUAAUGCUUAGGAAUCUGCCUAUUAGCGGGGGACAACAUCUCGAAAGGGAUGCUAAUACCGCAUACGUCCUACGGGAGAAAGAAGGGGAUCUUCGGACCUGGCGCUAAUCGAUGAGCCUAAGUCGGAUUAGCGAGUUGGUGGGGUAAAGGCGUACCAAGGCGACGAUCUGUAGCGGGUCUGAGAGGAUGAUCCGCCACACUGGGAGUGAGACACGGCCCAGACUCCUACGGGAGGCAGCAGUGGGGAAUGUUGGACAAUGGGGGGAACCCUGAUCCAGCCAUGCCGCGUGUGUGAAGAAGGCCUUAUGGUUGUAAAGCACUUUAAGCGAGGAGGAGGCUACUUUAGUUAAUACCUAGAGAUAGUGGACGUUACUCGCAGAAUAAGCACCGGCUAACUCUGUGCCAGCCGCCGCGGUAA